UACAUCAGGAAGUCAGAACAGGCUGCAGAGUGCUUUCAGUCCUUAAAAUAAAGACAGAUUCAUUACGGGUGACUCCUGUUUUCCCACUAGUUCACAAAUAUUUUGUUUAGUUACACAAAUUCCCUGCAAGUGACGGGCGUGCUGGCAGGUCAGGGGACCUGCUGUUGGGUUAUAUCAUUGUUAUGAGAGUCACGCUGCUAAGGAGCUUUGAGUUGUACCCCAUACUGAGAAUAGUCCAAAUAAUCUGUGACUCAAAGCAUCUCUCAUCAGGGAUCACUGUGAACACAGGCAAUUUCAGCUGACCCGACCAGCUAAACACAAACAUGUCAAGACCUCAAUAGCACCAGAACAUUUGUUUUAAAUAUCCUGAGUGUGAAAUCAGGGCCAAUGGGCAACAUCUAUUCAGUAAUCAUUUUGCAUGCCAGAUGUUUCUUUCUCUAAUUUUACUGCAGAGCAUAUAAAAAUAUGUGCUGGAAUUAAAAUGACGAUUGGGAAGAACACAAUAGCCAACCUCUGGUUUAUUGCAGCAGCGUAAACUGGAGUAAUUUCCAGGAAGAGAGACAUUACACCAGAUCCACAUGGGUGUGAGUUAUGAAUCCAACUAAUUCUCUCAGGGGACCUAUGUGUCUCGUGCAAACAAAUAACAUGAUUUAUGAGCCCUUUAAGUUUUGAGAGUGGUAGGGCAGGAGAGAGAGCUUAGCCAAGAGUGUCUUCCAGAGGAAAAAGCAAAGUGCACCUCAGUAGCUGAGGUAUUGAGGCUAACCACAAUCCUUACCAAGGUGUCACAGGCCCAGAGCAAUCUGCAGUCUGCAGCAGACACCCACAGUUGUAAAACAGUAGCCAGUAUGAGGCAUGGGGAUACAAAAAGUAGACCUGUUUGGGGCCUCUGCAAGGCUUUUAAUCCAUAUGCCCUCCGCAGCUAUACUGAUGCUGUACUAUGGGAAUUUGUUCUUUACUAUAAAACACUUUUUCAUCAAGAAAAUUCUCCCUCUCUCUUUCUCUUUAUUUAAUCAUCUAUUGGCAAGAAUUUUCAGAUGUGUGAUGAACACUCAAAGCCUGAGUCAAAGAUUAGAAAAGUUUGAUCUUUCUGGUAAAGAAGGAGGAAUUGCAUCUUUCCUGAGACAAAGAGCCCACCUAUAUGGAGAAGCCACCAUAGGAAGCUCUGUUGUUUUGGACAUGGAAAGAAAAAACAGCCUGCAGUACCUGAGUCAGCAAGACUUAGCAGAGACAAGGAUUGGAAACUUGCAAAAAUUUUUGAGAUUUUAGCCGAGAAUUUCUGUGCAAAUUUCUUCUUGGGUUUUAAUUUCCGAGACUUUCAUUCUGAAGUGCUGUGUACCUGGCUUCCAGGCAAAACAAAUAAAGCCAAAGAGCUGACCAGAACUAUACCCUGAAAAUAAUCUGUUCAUGAAAGCUGUCCUGGACUAUUGAAUUCAGCAAGCUCUGUGAUAGUAAUUGUAAGAUUUCACAGUUAUACUAAAAACAGCUGAAAACCCUUCAGUUAUGUGUUGAUAGCCAACAAAAGCUCUUUGAUGUAAACCACUGGAUUAAAACUGUUUGCCCUCACUAUUUUGUGUUGUGAAUCCCAAGCACAAAUACAGGCUGGGUGGAGAAUGGAUUGAAGGCAGUGCUGAGGAGAAGGACCUGGGGGUGUUGGUCAACGAGAAGCUCAACAUGAGCCAGCAAUGUGCACUUGCAGCCCAGAAAGCCAACCAUGUCCUGGGCUGCAUCAAAAGCAGCGCGGCAGGAUGAGGGAGGGGAUUGUCCCCCUCUGUUCUACUUAUAUUGCAUUUUUUUUCUACAUCAUCAUGCCCUCACCGAGUCCUUUUACAAUUCUAUCAUUAUAUUCAUUUACGCAGGUGAUGCAGAGCACAGUGCAAAGUUCACGUAGCUGUCAAAAUCCUGACUCUGGUAUUUACUGACUUUCAUGCUUCUUCUAGACAAUGCUACAAUUACCUUAAUGUCAUUUUUGUCACUUAAUACUGUUGCUAACCCUCAUAAUUGUUAAGGGACUGCACAGUGCAAUUUAGCAUAAUUAAGACAAUUAUAGUUAAGCACCAUGCACCAACAGUUGGUAGCCAAAGCUUUUGCCCAGUGUAAGGAAAACCAAAGGCUCCAUCUACUGCAGUACAGUCCUCAGGCACCCCCAAGAUUUUGGUUGGAGGUUAUCAGAAAGGUGCUCAUGGGGAAGACUCCUGCUUUGUCAGGGUACAGCAGAUCUUCUUUUUGCCAAGUGGAUGCUGUUGUUGAAGGAAGAGCAGGAAUUGAGCCUAUUUCCAUCACCCCAUUGGUAAGCACUUGAGAACUUGACCUCCAAGGCUGUUAUCUGAACCGGGCUUGAGAUUUCACCAAUGGAAUAUACUUAACACUUUUCCUCCACAUUUUACAUCCAUCUGAAAUGUAUUUAGCUAACUUUAGAGGUACCUUGCAUGUAAAACCUUGAACCACAAUUGUAAACUCUCCAGUUUCCCUUAUUCAUACAAUAUUUGAUUUGGAUGACAUGUUUUUUACAAUAUUUAUUUUCUGGCCCAUUUUGAGACUCUUAUGUUAAUGCCACAAGAACUUCAGUCUCCUGUAUAAUAUUUCAGACAUGGAGAAAAAAAAAAUGAAGUGAAAAAAAAAAAAAAAAAAGGAAAAACCAACCGUCUGCAUCCACUUAAACUACAUUACAAUAAAGCUCAGUAAAGAUCUGAUCAGCAGGUUUUUUUAGCCUGCUCCGAUUUAAUAUGAAA